rnacentral:rRNA from 1 species
UACGGAGGAUCCAAGCGUUAUCCGGAUUCAUUGGGUUUAAAGGGUGCGUAGGCGGAAUGAUAAGUCAGUGGUGAAAGCCUGCAGCUUAACUGCAGAACUGCCAUUGAUACUGUCAAUCUUGAGUACAUUUGAUGUGGGCGGAAUGUGUCAUGUAGCGGUGAAAUGCUUAGAUAUUGACACAGAGCACCGAUUGCGAAGGCAGCUCACAAAACUGUAACUGACGCUGAGGCACGAAAGCGUGGGUAUCAAACAGG